GGUUCGAUCCUGGCUCAGAUUGAACGCUGGCGGGAUGCUUUACACAUGCAAGUCGAACGGCAGCACGAAUUUCUGGUCUGGUGGCGAGUGGCGAACGGGUGAGUAAUGUAUCGGAACGUGCCUAGUAGCGGGGGAUAACUACGCGAAAGCGUGCUGGCCACCGCAUACGCCCUUCGGGGGUGCUGGGGGACCUUCGGGCCUUCGCACUAUUAGAGCGGCCGAUAUCGGAUUAGCUAGUUGGUGGGGUAACGGCUCACCAAGGCGACGAUCCGUAGCUGGUUUGAGAGGACGACCAGCCACACUGGGACUGAGACACGGCCCAGACUCCUACGGAGGCAGCAGGGGAAUGGGACACAAUGGGGGAAACCCUGAUCCAGCCAUCCCGCGUGUGCGAUGAAGGCCUUCGGGGCCAGGAAGCACUUUUGGCAGGAAAGAAACGGCACGGUAUAAUACCCCGUGCAAACUGACGGUACCUGCAGAAGGCACCUACACCACGCCAGCAGCCGCGGCAAUACGUAGGGUGCAAGCGUUAAUCGGAAUUACCGGGUAAAAGCGUGCGCAGGCGGUUCGGAAAGAAAGAUGUGAAAUCCCCAGAGCUUAACUUUGGAACUGCAUUUUUAACUACCGAGCUAGAGUGUGUCAGAGGGAGGCGGAAUUCCGCGUGUAGCAGUGAAAUGCGUAGAUAUGCGGAGGAACACCGAUGGCGAAGGCAGCCUCCCGAUAACACUGACGUCCAUGCACGAAAGCGUGGGGAGCAAACAGGAUUAGAUACCCUGGUAGUCCACGCCCUAAACGAUGUCAACUAGCUGUUGGGGCCUUCGGGCCUUGGCAGCGCAGCUAACGCGUGAAGUUGACCGCCUGGGGAGUACGGUCGCAGAUUAAAACUCAAAGGAAUUGGACGGGGACCCCGCACAAGCGGUGGAUGAUGGACACCUGAUGCAGCGCGAAAACCUUACCUACCCUUGACAUGUCUGGAAUCCCGGAAGAUUGGGAGUGCUCGCAAGAGAACCGGAACACAGGUGCUGCAUGGCUGUCGCUCGUGUCGAGAUGUUCGGGUUAAGUCCCGCAACGAGCGGCAACCUUGUCAUUAGUUGCUACGAAAGGGCACCCCUGACGAGACUGCCGGUGACAAACCGGAGGAAGGUGGGGAUGACGUCAAGUCCUCAUGGCCCUUAUGGGUAGGGCUUCACACGUCAUACAAUGGUCGGGACAGAGGGUCGCCAACCCGCGAGGGGAGCCAAUCCCAGAAACCCGAUCGUAGUCCGGAUCGCAGUCUGCAACGACUGCAAGUCGGAAUCGCCAGUAAUCGCGGAUCAGCAUGUCUGCAGAAUACGUUCCCGGGUCUUGUACACACCGCCCGUCACACCAUGUAUGGUUUACCAGAAGUAGUUAGCCUAACCGUAAGGAGGGCGAUUACCACGGUAGGAUUCAUGACUGGGGUGAAGUCGUAACAGUAG
rnacentral:rRNA from 1 species